AACGAACGCUGGCGGCAGGCCUAACACAUGCAAGUCGAGCGCGCCCUUCGGGGUGAGCGGCGGACGGGUUAGUAACGCGUGGGAAUAUGCCCAGAUCUGCGGAAUAGCCUCUGGAAACGGAGAGUAAUACCGCAUACGCCCUUCGGGGAAAGAUUUAUCGGAUUUGGAUUAGCCCGCGUUGGAUUAGGUAGUUGGUGGGUAAUGGCCUACCAAGCCGACGAUCCAUAGCUGGUUUGAGAGGAUGAUCAGCAACACUGGGACUGAGACACGGCCCAGACUCCUACGGGAGGCAGCAGUGGGAAUCUUAGACAAUGGGGAAACCCUGAUCUAGCCAUGCCGCGUGAGUGACGAAGGCCCUAGGGUCGUAAAGCUCUUUCAGCUGUGAAGAUAAUGACGGUAGCAGCAGAAGAAACCCCGGCUAACUCCGUG
rnacentral:rRNA from 1 species